UACAAUUAAUUGAAAAGGAUACCAGUCGGGAUUUUCACCAAUGAUUCUUUACUACAUACCAUAACUAAUUGGAUAUAAUUGUGUAUCUUUCGCCAAUAAAUACAUGUUCUGGGCACGGGCACCUAUUAUAGGUGGUGCUAAUGGCCAUAACUAAUUGGAUAUAAUUGUGUAUCUUUCGCCAAUAAAUACAUGUUCUGGGCACGGGCACCUAUUAUAGGUGGUGCUAAUGGCCGAAUUUACCGGUUGACAUGACAGAUCUUGGAACAGGUGGUACGAAUUUGUUCCAUUCAUUUAAGAUCUGCAUUUGCAUCUCAUAACUCUCGAGAUCUCGAACGUAAGUAUAUAUGGAGAAAAAGAUGUGGACGACGGCAUACGGGUAACAUCGAAGACA
rnacentral:lncRNA from 1 species